GACGAACGCUGGCGGCGUGCUUAACACAUGCAAGUCGAACGAUGAAGCUGGAGCUUGCUCCGGUGGAUUAGUGGCGAACGGGUGAGUAACACGUGAGCAAUCUGCCCUUGACUCUGGGAUAACUGCGGGAAACUGUAGCUAAUACCGGAUAUUUUCCCUGGUGGGCAUCCACUGGGGAAGAAAGAAUUUCGGUCAAGGAUGAGCUCGCGGCCUAUCAGCUAGUUGGUGAGGUAAUGGCUCACCAAGGCGACGACGGGUAGCCGGCCUGAGAGGGUGACCGGCCACACUGGAACUGAGACACGGUCCAGACUCCUACGGGAGGCAGCAGUGGGGAAUAUUGCACAAUGGGCGAAAGCCUGAUGCAGCAACGCCGCGUGAGGGACGAAGGCCUUCGGGUUGUAAACCUCUUUUAGCAGGGAAGAAGCGAAAGUGACGGUACCUGCAGAAAAAGCACG
rnacentral:rRNA from 1 species